CGUAGGUGGCAAGCGUUGUCCGGGAAUUAUUGGGGCGUAAAGCGCGCGCAGGCGGUUCUUUAAGUCUGAUGUGAAAGGCCCACGGGCUCAACCGUGGAGGGUCAUUGGAAACUGGAGAACUUGAGUACAGAAGAGGAAAGCGGAAUUCCACGUGUAGCGGUGAAAUGCGUAGAGAUGUGGAGGAACACCAGUGGCGAAGGCGGCUUUCUGGUCUGUAACUGACGCUGAGGCGCGAAAGCGUGGGGAGCAAACAGGAUUAGAUACCCUGGUAGUCCACGCCGUAAACGAUGAGUGCUAAGUGUUAGGGGUUUCCGCCCCUUAGUGCUGCAGCUAACGCAUUAAGCACUCCGCCUGGGGAGUACGGCCGCAAAGGCUG
rnacentral:rRNA from 1 species